rnacentral:rRNA from 1 species
GAUGAACGCUAGCGGGAGGCUUAAUACAUGCAAGUCGAACGGUAAGGACAGAGCUUGCUCUGUUACACGAGUGGCGCACGGGUGAGUAACGCGUACACGACCUACCUUCAAGAGGGGGAUAGCCCUGGGAAACUGGGAAUAAUCCGCCAUGUGAUUAAAGUUGUUAGAGGAUUUUAAUUAAAGUUCCGGCGCUUGAAGAUGGGUGUGCGUUCCAUUAGCUAGUUGGUAAGGUAACGGCUUACCAAGGCUACGAUGGAUAGGGGGCGUGAGAGCGUGGACCCCCACACGGGUACUGAGACACGGACCCGACUCCUACGGGAGGCAGCAGUAAGGAAUAUUGGACAAUGCCCGCAAGGGUGAUCCAGCCAUCCCGCGUGAAGGAUGACGGCCCUAUGGGUUGUAAACUUCUUUUAGAUAGGAAGAAACCCCUGGAUUUAUCUGGGGCUGACGGUACUAUCAGAAUAAGCACCGGCUAACUCCG